UACGUAGGCAGCGAGCGUUGUUCGGAAUUACUGGGCGUAAAGGAGUGAUGUAGGCGGUGCUCUAAGUUCGGUGUGAAAUCUCCUGGCUCAACUGGGAGGGUGCGCCGGAAACUGGAGUGCUUGAGCGUGGGAGAGGAAAGCGGAAUUCCUGGUGUAGCGGUGAAAUGCGUAGAUAUACAGGAGGAACACCUGUGGUGUAGACGGCUUUCUGGGACCAUAGCUGACGCUGAGACACGAAAGCGUGGGUAGCAAACAGG
rnacentral:rRNA from 1 species